rnacentral:rRNA from 1 species
AGCGAACGCUGGCGGCAGGCCUAACACAUGCAAGCCGAACGAAGCCUUCGGGCUUAGUGGCGGACGGGUGAGUAACACGUGGGAACGUACCCUUUGGUUCGGAAUAACGCAGAGAAAUUUGCGCUAAUACCGAAUGAGCCCCUCGGGGGAAAGAUUUAUCGCCGAAAGAUCGGCCCGCGUUGGAUUAGGUAGUUGGUGUGGUAAAGGCGCACCAAGCCUACGAUCCAUAGCUGGUCUGAGAGGAUGAUCAGCCACACUGGGACUGAGACACGGCCCAGACUCCUACGGGAGGCAGCAGUGGGGAAUCUUGCGCAAUGGGCGAAAGCCUGACGCAGCCAUGCCGCGUGAAUGAUGAAGGUCUUAGGAUUGUAAAAUUCUUUUACCAGGGACGAUAAUGACGGUACCUGGAGAAAAAGCCCCGGCUAACUUCGUGCCAGCCGCCGCAGUAAUAC